UACAGAGGGUGCAAGCGUUAAUCGGAAUUACUGGGCGUAAAGCGUGCGUAGACGGUUAUGUAAGUCGGGUGUGAAAGCCCCGGGCUCAACCUGGGAAUUGCAUUCGAGACUGCAUAGCUAGAGUGCGGAAGAGGGAAGCGGAAUUUCCGGUGUAGCGGUGAAAUGCGUAGAUAUCGGAAGGAACACCAGUGGCGAAAGCGGCUUCCUGGUCCAGCACCGACGUUCAGGCACGAAAGCGUGGGGAGCAAACAGG
rnacentral:rRNA from 1 species